rnacentral:rRNA from 1 species
AGAGUUUGAUCCUGGCUCAGAUUGAACGCUGGCGGUAUGCUUAACACAUGCAAGUCGAACGGAAACGAUACUAGCUUGCUAGUAGGCGUCGAGUGGCGGACGGGUGAGUAACGCGUAGGAAUCUACCUAAUAGUGGGGGAUAGCCCGGAGAAAUCCGGAUUAAUACCGCAUAAUCUCUAUGGAGUAAAGGGGCCCUCUUCUUGAAAGGUUUCGCUAUCAGAUGAGCCUGCGUAAGAUUAGCUAGUUGGUGAGGUAAAAGCUCACCAAGGCGACGAUCUUUAGCUGGUCUGAGAGGAUGAUCAGCCACACUGGGACUGAGACACGGCCCAGACUCCUACCGGGAGGCAGCAGUGGGGAAUAUUGGACAAUGGGGGCAACCCUGAUCCAGCAAUACCGCGUGUGUGAAGAAGGCCUGAGGGUUGUAAAGCACUUUCAAUUGUGAAGAAAAGUUAAUAGUUAAUAACUAUUAGCCUUGACGUAACUUUAGAAGAAGCA